UACGAAGGGGGCAAGCGUUGUUCGGAAUUACUGGGCGUAAAGGGCGCGUAGGCGGCUUAUCAAGUCAGGCGUGAAAUUCCCGGGCUCAACCUGGGGGCUGCGCUUGAUACUGAUGAGCUUGAAUGCGGGAGAGGAUAGUGGAAUUCCCAGUGUAGAGGUGAAAUUCGUAGAUAUUGGGAAGAACACCGGUGGCGAAGGCGGCUAUCUGGCCCGUAAUUGACGCUGAGGCGCGAAAGCUAGGGGAGCAAACGGG
rnacentral:rRNA from 1 species